GGCUGAUCCAAAGGGUAGGAAGUGUAUCUUCAAUUGAGCUGGUUCACAGUUAAGCAGAUUAAGACUCUUUGUUCUAUUCUUUCCUACCUUCCCACUACUGCCAUUUGGACUAGUCUUUA
rnacentral:Y_RNA from 1 species